rnacentral:rRNA from 1 species
AGAAUCAACGCUGGCGGCGUGCCUAACACAUGCAAGUCGAACGAGAAAGUGGUAGCAAUACCAUGAGUAAAGUGGCGCACGGGUGAGUAACACGUGACUAACCUACCCUUGAGUGGGGGAUAACUGAGGGAAACCUUAGCUAAUACCGCAUAAUACCCACGGGUCAAAGGAGCAAUUCGCUCGAGGAGGGGGUCGCGGCCGAUUAGUUAGUUGGCGGGGUAAUGGCCCACCAAGACGAUGAUCGGUAUCCGGCCUGAGAGGGCGCACGGACACACUGGAACUGAAACACGGUCCAGACUCCUACGGGAGGCAGCAGUGGGGAAUUUUGCGCAAUGGGGGAAACCCUGACGCAGCAACGCCGCGUGGAGGAUGAAGUCCUUCGGGACGUAAACUCCUUUCGAUCGGGACGAUUAUGACGGUACCGGAGAAGAAGCCCCGGCUACUUCGUGCCAGCAGCCGC